rnacentral:rRNA from 1 species
AUUGAACGCUGGCGGCAGGCUUAACACAUGCAAGUCGAGCGGAGAUGAGGUGCUUGCACCUUAUCUUAGCGGCGGACGGGUGAGUGAUGCUUAGGAAUCUGCCUAUUAGUGGGGGACAACAUUCCGAAAGGAAUGCUAAUACCGCAUACGUCCUACGGGAGAAAGCAGGGGAUCUUCGGACCUUGCGCCAAUAGAUGAGCCUAAGUCGGAUUAGCUAGUUGGUGGGGUAAAGGCCUACCAAGGCGACGAUCUGUAGCGGGUCUGAGAGGAUGAUCCGCCACACUGGGACUGAGACACGGCCCAGACUCCUACGGGAGGCAGCAGUGGGGAAUAUUGGACAAUGGGGGGAACCCUGAUCCAGCCAUGCCGCGUGUGUGAAGAAGGCCUUAUGGUUGUAAAGCACUUUAAGCGAGGAGGAGGCUACUGAGACUAAUACUCUUGGAUAGUGGACGUUACUCGCAGAAUAAGCACCGGCUAACUCUGUGCCAGCAGCCGCGGUAAGAC